AGCCAAUCAAAACCGUGGGAGACUCGUACAAUUCUCUGUGGAUGUGAACACGUCACCCAUCGGUGUCGCUGGUCUGUGGUCAAUGACCGUCGCCUCCCGUGUGCAUGGCUUGCUGCGCGUUGGCGAUGAGUCGUGUGGCGCCCAUCACCGUCCAACCAAGCCACAUGCGAAAUUUGUGCGUGUGAAAGUUUGUGCUCCUGCGUGGCAUUGCGAUGCCAUCCCAAAAAGAGGACGAGGACCAAUCAGGGGGAGUUUCAUUGACCAACCAAUGAGCGGACAAGAUACUAAUCAGAAUGCACUUGCAAGUAAUACUUCCGUGUCAGAUUUCCCGGAGCUAUUUGACAUUUCUUUCAAAAAAAAAAAAAGAGUAUCGAUAUAUAAAGAACAAAAGCAGUGCCAUGGGAACUCGUUGGUGCCAGAGUAAACACAUCGGAGGGCAGGCUCAAGGCUGACGGCAGUAUAACCUCCAUGAAACACGACCACUAUCUUGGAGUCCACCCUUACACUCCAGACGUUGCUGGAUGAAAUGCGCUGCACUACGACCCCUGACCUCGCCUCGCCUGGAGUUCCCGUUUUCCCGCCUGGCGGCCCCGCUCAGAAGGCGAGCGCAGGGGAGGGGCGGUGUGGUGACAUGUGUCAUAUCUGCAUGGAAUGUGGAUGAGCUCAACGAGAGCAGCGCGUCAGCGACGUGUGAGCGAGUGCAAGGAAAAAGAAGAGGAAGAAAGUUUGACAGAGCUCUGAAUGGAGAUGACACCAACAAAGAAGACGAGUCAACCGGGCGGAACCGAAGCUGACAUAGAUGAUGAUUAUCAUUGAAGUCUGCACGUCAUGCCUCUCCAAGGGACGGCACCUUCCCUGGUAUCCCUUUCAGGAGAAUCACCCAUUGAUCUGGUUCCAACCAUUUGUCGGCACUGGUGCUGCUAUUGUAGCAAGUUUCGG